GUGCACCAGGCGAGAAUCUUCGGCAAUGGGCGCAAGCCUGACCGAGCGACGCCGCGUGCGGGAUGAAGGCCUUCGGGUUGUAAUCCGCUGUCAGAGGGGAGGAAAUGGCGGUCCUCAGGGUCGUCUUGACCAAACCUCAGAGGAAGGACGGGCUAAGUUCGUGCCAGCAGCCGCGGUAAGACGAACCGUCCAAACGUUAUUCGGAAUUACUGGGCUUAAAGGGUGCGUAGGCGGCCUGGCAAGUUGGGUGUGAAAGCCCUCGGCUCAACCGAGGAAUUGCGCCCAAAACUGCUAGGCUUGAGGGAGAUAGAGGUGAGCGGAACUUGGGGUGGAGCGGUGAAAUGCAUUGAUAUCCCAAGGAACACCAGAGGCGAAAGCGGCUCACUGGGUCUCUUCUGACGCUGAGGCACGAAAGCUAGGGGAGCGAACGGGAUUAGAUACCCCCGUAGUCC
rnacentral:rRNA from 1 species